CAGUUCCCUUUCAUUAAAAGUUCUCUCUUUUUACACACAGACUCCAGGCUUGCAAUAGGGGAAGUUCUGCCUCUUAGAGGCACCCAGGGUGGUGGUCCAUGUUUGCAGAUUACUGGCUGGGGGCUCGAGCUGGUUCUGUUUUGCAAUGUUAAGAGAAACUCCUACACGUUGAACUCAGCCCUUGCUGCUGCCGACUCCACCUGGCAGAAAGGUUAUGAACAAAAUAAACAAGCAGCAGCAAUUGUAACAUUUAUCACAACUUUUCAAGAUUUUGAAAAAAAAUCUCACAUGCAAAAGAAACGAACAUGUAGGGUUCUCAGCGCCCACAAAAUCAAGCAAAUAAGGCCAUAAAUGGAUUCUCAGUCAUCUCCAAGGGGUGCCUGGAGGAUUAACCAGCCAAUGUGUGCAAAGCCCUUUAGACAGAUGGGAAGCAGUAGGUUUAAACAUGAAGAGCAGUCUCCUUAAUUAUCACCAUCACACGAUUGAUCUUCAUCCUGCUAUUGCCAUUCACAACUAUCAUCUGAACAAAACAGGAAGCAGCGUCCACCAACAUGAAUACACGUUUGGCAGAAUUUGAUUUAAAAAAAAUAAUUUAAUCAGAUAAUACGGACUUAUUUUUAUCCAUUUAAAUGUUCACAGUUGUGCAAAAUUCUGGGUUUUAAACAUUUUUAUGGUUAUCUGGGUUUUAUUCUGAUUUAGGUUUUCAGAGUGGCAGGAAAGCAGAGGGAAAGUGAGAGAAUUAUUGAAUGACAGUAGAAGUUGAAAUUCAAGAAGUUAUAGCAGAAUCCUGCUAAAAACACAAAGCAUCAACAUCCUAUGCAAAAUAUACAAAGUAAAUAUUCUUAAAUCAAAUUCUAAUAAGUUCUGAAGCAGCAUUUUUCAAACUCGGCCUAUCUAAAUUACGGAUACCGAUGAAAAUAUAUUUUUGUCGAUUUCUAUGCAUGAUUAAAUCGACUUUUACUGAUAAAACCAAAUUCUCCCAUGGCUACAUGUAAAGAAUCUGCUGCACUUCAUCUUGGAAGGGAUCCUAUUGGCAAACCCUAUGCUUAUAUAUUCUGAUUUUGCCUUGCACAUGGACCUCCACCAUCCAUCUAACUUUUCUAGGUGAUCCUUCUUGAGGUUAUCUGCUCGUCUUAAUUAGUUAUGUAUGCGUGAGUACAUCUUGGUGGGCAAACAAACGUGUACGGAGAUUGAGAGUUUUUUUAAACUAGAUGAUAAAUCUAUAUUAUGGCAAAGGCCAAAUCACCCGAGCUACAUACAAACAUGACCUCAGGGAGUCACAUCACUCAGUGUUCUAGCCCCUAAGGGACCAUUUGGCGUUGGGUACAUUGACCUACAAUCCAAUAUAAGC
rnacentral:lncRNA from 1 species